rnacentral:rRNA from 1 species
GAUGAACGCUAGCGACAGGCCUAACACAUGCAAGUCGAGGGGUAGCACAGGAUAGCUUGCUAUUUGGGUGACGACCGGCGCACGGGUGAGUAACGCGUAUGCAACCUGCCUAUAAGAGGGGGAUAGCCUUUCGAAAGAAAGAUUAAUACCGCAUAAUACUGUUUAUCUGCAUGGAUGAACAGUUAAACUAUUUGGCUUAUAGAUGGGCAUGCGUUCCAUUAGAUAGUUGGUGAGGUAACGGCUCACCAAGUCAGCGAUGGAUAGGGGUUCUGAGAGGAAGGUCCCCCACACUGGUACUGAGACACGGACCAGACUCCUACGGGAGGCAGCAGUGAGGAAUAUUGGUCAAUGGGCGAGAGCCUGAACCAGCCAAGUCGCGUGAAGGAUGAAGGUCUUAUGGAUUGUAAACUUCUUUUAUAAGGGAAUAAAAAAGAUCACGUGUGGUCUAUUGCAUGUACCUUAUGAAUAAGCAUCGGCUAACUCCGUGCCAGCAGCCGCGGUAAUACGGAGGAUGCGAGCGUUAUCCGGAUUUAUUGGGUUUAAAGGGUGCGUAGGCGGUUUAUUAAGUCAGUGGUGAAAGUUUUCGGCUCAACCGGAAAAUUGCCAUUGAAACUGAUAGACUUGAGUGUAAACGAGGUAGGCGGAAUUCGUGGUGUAGCGGUGAAAUGCUUAGAUAUCACGAAGAACUCCNAUUGCGAANNCAGCUUACUAGGCUAC